UGGGGAAUAUUGCGCAAUGGGGGGAACCCUGACGCAGCCAUGCCGCGUGAAUGAAGAAGGCCUUAGGGUUGUAAAGUUCUUUCGGUAUUGAGGAAGGUUGAUGUGUUAAUAGCACAUCAAAUUGACGUUAAAUACAGAAGAAGCACCGGCUAACUCCGUGCCAGCAGCCGCGGUAAUACGGAGGGUGCGAGCGUUAAUCGGAAUAACUGGGCGUAAAGGGCACGCAGGCGGUUAUUUAAGUGAGGUGUGAAAGCCCCGGGCUUAACCUGGGAAUUACAUUUCAGACUGGGUAACUAGAGUACUUUAGGGAGGGGUAGAAUUCCACGUGUAGCGGUGAAAUGCGUAGAGAUGUGGAGGAAUACCGAAGGCGAAGGCAGCCCCUUGGGAAUGUACUGACGCUCAUGUGCGAAAGCGUGGGGAGCAAACAGGAUUAGAUACCCUGGUAGUCCACGCUGUAAACGCUGUCGAUUUGGGGGUUGGGGUUUAACUCUGGCGCCCGUAGCUAACGUGAUAAAUCGACCGCCUGGGGAGUACGGCCGCAAGGUUA
rnacentral:rRNA from 1 species